GCGGUCCUGGUGCAGCGGCAGCACGCGAGGACGUGACCCUCGAGGCUCCGGUUCGACUCCGGAGGAUCGCCCCA
rnacentral:tRNA from 1 species